GGCCCCCUUAUUCCUAAACUGUUGGGACCAAAACUUCCAAAAUCAAUCCCAACCUUCCUUUUAUGGUCAUAAACCUUGUGUUUAAAUUUCAUAGAUUUCUAUUUACUUAUACUAAAGUUAUGGUGCGAAAACCAAGAAAAAUGCUUAUUUGGGCCCCUUUUUGGCCCCCAAUUCCUAAACUGUUCGGACCUCAAAUCCCAAAAUCAAUCCCAACCUUCCUUUUAUGGUCAUAAACCUUGUGUUUAAAUUUCAUUGAUUUCUAUUUACUUAGGUAUACUAAAGUUAUUGUGCGAAAACCAAGAAAAAUGCUUAUUUGGGCCCUUUUUUGGCCCCUAAUUCCUAAACUGUUGAAACCAAAACUCCCAAAAUCAAUCCCAACCUUCCUUUUGUGGUCAUAAACCUUGUGUCAAAAUUUCAUAGAUUUCUAUUUACUUAAACUAAAGUUAUAGUGCGAAAACCAAGAAAAUGCUUAUUUGGGCCCUUUUUGGCCCCUAAUUCCUAAAAUGUUGGGACCAAAACUCCCAAAAUUAAUCCCAACCUUCCUUUUGUGGUAAUAAACCUUGUGUUAAAAUUUCGUAGAUUUCUAUUCACAUUUACUAAAGUUAGAGUGCGAAAACUAAAAGUAUUCGGACGACG
rnacentral:lncRNA from 1 species